GAUGAACGCUGGCGGCGUGCCUAAUACAUGCAAGUCGAGCGAACGGACGAGAAGCUUGCUUUUCUGAUGUUAGCGGCGGACGGGUGAGUAACACGUGGAUAACCUACCUAUAAGACUGGGAUAACUUCGGGAAACCGGAGCUAAUACCGGAUAAUAUUUUGAACCGCAUGGUUCAAAAGUGAAAGACGGUCUUGCUGUCACUUAUAGAUGGAUCCGCGCUGCAUUAGCUAGUUGGUAAGGUAACGGCUUACCAAGGCAACGAUGCAUAGCCGACCUGAGAGGGUGAUCGGCCACACUGGAACUGAGACAAGGUCCAGAAUCCUACGGGAGGCAGCAGUAGGGAAUCUUCCGCAAUGGGCGAAAGCCUGACGGAGCAACGCCGCGUGAGGGAUGAAGGUCUUCGGAUCGUAAAACUCUGUUAUUAGGGAAGAACAUAUGUGUAAGUAACUGUGCAAAUAUUGACGGUACCUAAUCAGAAAGCCACGGCUAACUACGUG
rnacentral:rRNA from 1 species